rnacentral:snRNA from 1 species
GGGCUGGCUUCGGCAGCACAUAUACUAGAAUUGGAAAGAUAAAGAGAAGAUUAACAGGGUGCCUGCACAAGGAUGACAUGCAAAUUUGUGAAGCAUUCCAUAUUAAA